rnacentral:rRNA from 1 species
ACGGAAGGCAGCAGUGGGGAAUAUUGCACAAUGGGGGAAACCCUGAUGCAGCGACGCCGCGUGAGUGAAGAAGUAUUUCGGUAUGUAAAGCUCUAUCAGCAGGGAAGAAAAUGACGGUACCUGUCUAAGAAGCCCCGGCUAACUACGUGCCAGCAGCCGCGGUGAUACGUAGGGGGCAAGCGUUAUCCGGAUUUACUGGUGUAAAGGGUGCGCAGGCGGCACGGCAAGUCAGAAGUGAAAUCCCAGGGCUCAACCCUGGAACUGCUUUUGAAACUGUCGAGCUAGAGUACAGGAGAGGUAAGCGGAAUUCCUAGUGUAGCGGUGAAAUGCGUAGAUAUUAGGAGGAACACCAGUGGCGAAGGCGGCUUACUGGACUGACACUGGCGCUGAGGCACGAAAGCGUGGGGAGCAAACAGGAUUAGAUACCCUGGUA